AACACACCAAAACUGAUAUUACUGUAAAAACUAAAAGGAAAUGUAGGAUUAUCAUAGCUUGAUAGAAUAAUUAUAGUUUAGAAUCACAAUUAUGACAUUUUUAUAUUACUUCGUAACUUAUGACAGGUUUUAAUCUAUUUGUAUAAUAUGGAAAUUGUAUAAAGUUAUGAACUUUUACAAUUACACAGAAUAAUAAACUAUUAAAAGCCAAUACAUACAUUCAAACACUCGAAUAAUUCAUAAGCUUAUUGGCAAAUCAUGUCAACUUAUUGAAUUGUGUCAACGCUAAUAUGUCACGUGAAGAGGCUUUAUACCUGAUAAAACUCAACUUUAUAAUCAUCUUUAUUUGUAUUCUUUAUAUAAAAGUCCAUC